GCUUCCGGCCGCUGGUCGCAGGGCUGCGGGACUACAAUCUUCGCAUGAAAUGGAAGAGAGGGUGGUGCGGAUAGCUUGAGAAAGGUACGGAUACCUUGAGGGAGUUCCGUUUCCCUCCAGAGGAUCAAGCCUCCUCCCGCCCAGGGGGCCUCCUGCUUUCCUAAGCUGCUGUGGAAUCGGCCUGAGGUCCCAGACGCUGUCCAUUGUGCUGCUGCUCUCUGCUUUCUCCAGCCAGAGUGCCAGUUCAUCCGCUUUUGGGAGAACUCCACCGCCUGGCCUGCCCACGGAAAAGGUCACAGCUUUGCAGGGGGGUGACAUGGGCUAUGGCUUCCUGGAAAUAUCACCCUCACCAGCGCCUUUUAGAUGGAUGUGAAUUUUGAGACAUGAGGGAGGGUAAUUAUUGGUUUACCCAGGAGAUGCUAAGAGCAGAGGAGAAAACCCUAAUUUCCAGGCAUGUGUCCUGAGCCAGGGACAGGCUGUCCAGACCCUAAGCCCCCAGUGCCGCCAGAGAGCAGCCUACUGCCCUGAUUUAUGUGGAAUCCCCUUCGUGCUGCUGGGCCUUAGCGUCAGGGACAGC
rnacentral:lncRNA from 1 species